rnacentral:rRNA from 1 species
UACCAGCACCCCGAGUGGUCGGGACGUUUAUUGGGCCUAAAGCAUCCGUAGCCGGUUCUACAAGUCUUCCGUUAAAUCCACCUGCUUAACAGAUGGGCUGCGGAAGAUACUAUGGAGCUAGGAGGCGGGAGAGGCAAGCGGUACUCGAUGGGUAGGGGUAAAAUCCGUUGAUCCAUUGAAGACCACCAGUGGCGAAGGCGGCUAUCUGGACGGUUUCUGACACUAAGACUCGAAAGCGUGGGGAGCAAACAGG